rnacentral:ncRNA from 1 species
GGGGUGCCUGGGCAAGUCCGGCAGCCUCCGCGGGCUUCGUCACUCACACGGGUGACAUUUCCCAACUCAGCUCGCUUUCGGGCAGGUUGCCCGGCAUAUGCUCACGCAAGAACUCAUCCCACACAUACGUCGGCCCCCGACCGGGACUGCAAUCCCAACCGAGGGCCUGGCCACCAAGGAAGCAGCAACCUUCCCG